rnacentral:misc_RNA from 1 species
UUUCGCUUUUCGGAUUUGGAGAUCAAAUCCUGAUAAUCUGAUUGGGUUCUUUGUUAGAUCUCAUGAUCUUGAUUUGUCAGCAAGGAAGUGGAUUUACACGGUGCAUCCUGAUAAAUACUCAAUUGUGCUUACCAAGUUCAUGAUUUUGAAAAGCCAGUAUCUGUUUGAGUAUAGUUGCAAGGGUGGAUCCAGCAUGAGUGAAAUGAGGAAGAUCGUUGAUCAAAUGCAAAACUGUGAAGAUAUACUGAUGAAUUUUGUGGUAGCUGACCAUGCUAACAAAGGGC